rnacentral:rRNA from 1 species
GCAAGUCGAACGAUGAAGGAGAGCUUGCUCUCUGGAUUAGUGGCGAAAGGGUGAGUAACGCGUGAGUAAGCUGCCCUCAAGUUGGGAAUAAUUCUCCGAAAGGAGGACUAAUACCGAAUGUGGUUAUGAUAUUGCAUAGUAUUAUAACUAAAGAUUUAUCGCUUGAGGAUGUGCUCGCGUCCCAUUAUGUUUGUUGGUAAGGUAACGGCUUACCAAGACUAUGACGGGUAGGUGGUCUGAGAGGAUGGUC